UACGAAGGGGGCUAGCGUUGUUCGGAAUCACUGGGCGUAAAGCGCACGUAGGCGGAUUGUUAAGUCGGGGGUGAAAUCCUGAGGCUCAACCUCAGAACUGCCUUCGAUACUGGCAAUCUCGAGUCCGGAAGAGGUUGGUGGAACAGCUAGUGUAGAGGUGAAAUCGUAGAUAUUAGCUAGAACACCAGUGGCGAAGGCGGCCAAACUGGUCCGGUACUGACGCUGAGGUGCGAAAGCGUGGGGAGCAACAGGG
rnacentral:rRNA from 1 species